UACAGAGGGUGCAAGCGUUGUUCGGAAUUAUUGGGCGUAAAGCGCGUGUAGGCGGCUUUGCAAGUCGGGUGUGAAAUCCCUCAGCUUAACUGAGGAAGUGCGCCCCAAACUGCAGAGCUUGAGUACCGGAGAGGGUGGCGGAAUUCCCCAAGUAGAGGUGAAAUUCGUAGAUAUGGGGAGGAACACCGGUGGCGAAGGCGGCCACCUGGACGGAUACUGACGCUCAUGUGCGAAAGCGUGGGGAGCAAACAGG
rnacentral:rRNA from 1 species